CACGUAGGGGGCGAGCGUUGUCCGGAUUUAUUGGGCGUAAAGAGCUCGUAGGCGGCUUGUUGCGUCGACCGUGAAAACCCGGGGCUCAACCCCGGGCCUGCAUUCGAUACGGGCAGACUAGAGUUCGGUAGGGGAGUCUGGAAUUCCUGGUGUAGCGGUGAAAUGCGCAGAUAUCAGGAGGAACACCGGUGGCGAAGGCGGGUCUCUGGGCCGAUACUGACGCUGAGGAGCGAAAGCAUGGGUAGCGAACAGG
rnacentral:rRNA from 1 species